GAUGGCGCAGCGGUAGCGCAGCUGACUGUUAAUCAGCGUGUCGUAGGUUCGAAUCCUACUC
rnacentral:tRNA from 1 species